rnacentral:rRNA from 1 species
AACGAACGCUGGCGGCAUGCCUAACACAUGCAAGUCGAACGAGCCCUUCAGGCCUUGUGUCGCUCGGCUACGUACCGCGAGGUACCCUGCCCUUAGGUUCGCGAUAAUUCCCCGCCUGGGAUCCUAGUACCGGUAAAUGUCUCCGGACCAAAGAUGUAUCGCCUUUGAAUGGGCCCGCGUGGGAUUAGCUAGUUGGUAAGGUAAAAGCCCACCAAGGCGCCGAUCCAUAGCUGGCCUGUGAGGAUGGUCAGCCACACUGGGACUGAGACACGGCCCAGACUCCUACGGAAGGCAGCAGGGGGGAAUAUUGGACGCUGGGCGAGAGCCUGAGCCAGCAAUGCCGCGUGAGUGAUGAAGGCCUUAGGGUUGUAAAGCUCUGUUACCCGGGAUGAUAAUGACAGUACCGGGAGAAUAAGCGACGGCUAACUCCGUG